CAGCCUGCUUUAGUGCUUUCGAGCUUUUAGCUGGAAUCAAGACUUGAAAAUCAAGCCAAGUUAAUACUUGGAAAC